GAUGAACGCUGGCGGCGUGCCUAAUACAUGCAAGUCGAGCGAACAGACGAGGAUCUUGCUCCUCUGACGUUAGCGGCGGACGGGUGAGUAACACGUGAAUAACCUACCUAUAGGACUCAGAUAACUUCGGGAAACCGGAGCUAAUACCGGAUAAUAUAUUGAACCGCAUGGUUCAAUAGGUAAUGGCGGUCUUGCUGUUACUGAUAGAUGGUUCCGCGCCGCCUUAUCUAGUUGUUAAGGUAACGGCUUACCACGGCGACGAUGCGUAGCCGACCUGAGAGGGUGAUCGGCCACACUGGAACUGAGACACGGUCCAGACUCCUACGGGAGGCAGCAGUAGGGAAUCUUCCGAAAUGGGCGAAAGCCUGACGGAGCAACGCCGCGUGAGUGAUGAAGGUCUUCGGAUCGUAAAACUCUGUUAUUAGGGAAGAACAAAUGUGUAAGUAACUAUGCACGUCUUGACGGUACCUAAUCAGAAAGCCACGGCUAACUACGUG
rnacentral:rRNA from 1 species